CACUAGGCUAAAAAAAAGGAAAGUCAUGGAGCAGUACAAACCGGGAAAUCUAACUGCUUGAGAAGCAUUGCAGCCUCAGCUCGUGCUUGGAUGGAUUCAGAAUCAGAGAACAGCUUUCCCUGAAAAUUCUUUAUGACUGUCGCCAUUGCUUCUUCAGAAGCCCUUUUACAAUCUUGGAACGAUGAGUCCCCGUAUGCCUAAA